GACAGAGGUCCCGAGCGUUAGGCGGAAUCACUGGGCUUAAAGCGUGUGUAGGCGGAUGCCUAAGUACCUUGUGAAAUCCCACGGCUCACCCGUGGAACUGCUUGGUAUACUGGGUGUCUUGAGACACCUAGGGGCGAGCGGAACAGGCGGUGGAGCGGUGAAAUGCGUAGAUAUCGCCUGGAACGCCGACGGUGAAAACAGCUCGCUGGGGGUGUUCUGACGCUGAGACACGAAAGCCAGGGGAGCGAACGGG
rnacentral:rRNA from 1 species